rnacentral:rRNA from 1 species
GUAACGCGGAGAGAAGCUUGCUUCUCUCCGGCGACGAGUGGCGAACGGGUGAGUAAUACAUCGGAACGUGUCCGCUCGUGGGGGACAACCAGCCGAAAGGUUGGCUAAUACCGCAUGAGUUCUACGGAAGAAAGAGGGGGACCCGCAAGGGCCUCUCGCGAGCGGAGCGGCCGAUGACUGAUUAGCCGGUUGGUGAGGUAACGGCUCACCAAAGCAACGAUCAGUAGCUGGUCUGAGAGGACGACCAGCCACACUGGGACUGAGACACGGCCCAGACUCCUACGGGAGGCAGCAGUGGGGAAUUUUGGACAAUGGGCGCAAGCCUGAUCCAGCUAUUCCGCGUGUGGGAUGAAGGCCCUCGGGUUGUAAACCACUUUUGUAGAGAACGAAAAGACACCUUCGAAUAAAGGGUGUUGCUGACGGUACUCUAAGAAUAAGCACCGGCUAACUACGUGCCAGCAGCCGCGGUAAUACGUAGGGUGCGAGCGUUAAUCGGAAUUACUGGGCGUAAAGGGUGCGCAGGCGGUUGAGUAAGACAGAUGUGAAAUCCCCGAGCUUAACUCGGGAAUGGCAUAUGUGACUGCUCGACUAGAGUGUGUCAGAGGGAGGUGGAAUUCCACGUGUAGCAGUGAAAUGCGUAGAUAUGUGGAAGAACACCGAUGGCGAAGGCAGCCUCCUGGGACAUA